AGUGAACGCUGGCGGUAGGCCUAACACAUGCAAGUCGAACGGCAGCACAGUAAGAGCUUGCUCUUACGGGUGGCGAGUGGCGGACGGGUGAGGAAUACAUCGGAAUCUACUUUUUCGUGGGGGAUAACGUAGGGAAACUUACGCUAAUACCGCAUACGACCUACGGGUGAAAGCAGGGGAUCUUCGGACCUUGCGCGAUUGAAUGAGCCGAUGUCGGAUUAGCUAGUUGGUGGGGUAAAGGCCCACCAAGGCGACGAUCCGUAGCUGGUCUGAGAGGAUGAUCAGCCACACUGGAACUGAGACACGGUCCAGACUCCUACGGGAGGCAGCAGUGGGGAAUAUUGGACAAUGGGCGCAAGCCUGAUCCAGCCAUACCGCGUGGGUGAAGAAGGCCUUCGGAUUGUAAAGCCCUUUUGUUGGGAAAGAAGAGCAGCAAGUUAAUACCCCGCUGUUCUGACGGUACCCAAAGAAUAAGCACCGGCUAACUUCGUG
rnacentral:rRNA from 1 species